AUUGAACGCUGGCGGCAUGCUUUACACAUGCAAGUCGAACGGCAGCGCGGGCUUCGGCCUGGCGGCGAGUGGCGAACGGGUGAGUAAUGCAUCGGAACGUGCCCAGUAGUGGGGGAUAGCCCGGCGAAAGCCGGAUUAAUACCGCAUACGACCUGAGGGUGAAAGCGGGGGACCGAAAGGCCUCGCGCUAUUGGAGCGGCCGAUGUCGGAUUAGCUAGUUGGUGGGGUAAAGGCUUACCAAGGCGACGAUCCGUAGCUGGUCUGAGAGGACGACCAGCCACACUGGGACUGGGACACGGCCCAGACUCCUACGGGAGGCAGCAGUGGGGAAUUUUGGACAAUGGGGGCAACCCUGAUCCAGCCAUGCCGCGUGCGGGAAGAAGGCCUUCGGGUUGUAAACCGCUUUUGUUCGGGAAGAAAUCCUCUGGGCCAAUACCCCGGGGGGAUGACGGUACCGGAAGAAUAAGCACCGGCUAACUACGUG
rnacentral:rRNA from 1 species